rnacentral:rRNA from 1 species
UAGGGAAUNUUCCACAAUGGGCGCAAGCCUGAUGGAGCAACACCGCGUGAGUGAAGAAGGGUUUCGGCUCGUAAAGCUCUGUUGUUAAAGAAGAACACGUAUGAGAGUAACUGUUCAUACGUUGACGGUAUUUAACCAGAAAGUCACGGCUAACUACGUGCCAGCAGCCGCGGUAAUACGUAGGUGGCAAGCGUUAUCCGGAUUUAUUGGGCGUAAAGAGAGUGCAGGCGGUUUUCUAAGUNUGAUGUGAAAGCCUUCGGCUUAACCGGAGAAGUGCAUCGGAAACUGGAUAACUUGAGUGCAGAAGAGGGUAGUGGAACUCCAUGUGUAGCGGUGGAAUGCGUAGAUAUAUGGAAGAACACCAGUGGCGAAGGCGGCUACCUGGUCUGCAACUGACGCUGAGACUCGAAAGCAUGGGUAGCGAACAGGAUUAGAUACCCUGGUAGUCCAUGCCGUAAACGAUGAGUGCUAGGUGUUGGAGGGUUUCCGCCCUUCAGUGCCGGAGCUAACGCAUUAAGCACUCCGCCUGGGGAGUACGACCGCAAGGUUG